GUAAUAUUAAUAUCUGUUUUGUUCUCACAGUUACAAGAGAGUUGGAAAAUAAAUUAGGGUUAUUUUUCUCUUUUUUUUGUUUUUAACUUCCACAGAGCGACCAAGCUGAGAGUGCCAGAAGUUGGGCAUUUUGUGCCCUCAGGGGGAAAUUACCACUUUUAUGUUUUGGAAAAUAUAAAUUCACUGAGGGAAUGGAUUGCCUAAAAGGGAAUAGGUCUCAGAACACCAGAAAAAGGAGAUGUGGUUUGACCCGGAAAGGAGAGAACCAGAUUUCCUCACUCCUAUUCAAGACUCUGAAGAACUUCUGAAACUGUUGAGAAAGUGUUGUUGAAACCAAAGGGAUUCAGAGGAUGCUAAAGGAAUCUGGAUAAAUUUAAGAAGAAUGCAGGCCAAUUACAGUAACAGAGGUGAAUAUUUUCGUGAGAUCUCAGAUGCCAAUAUCCAGAAGUACGCGGCUGGCUCCAGUAUUUUUAAAAACGUCAAAUCGAAAAAUCAUGUGAAGAUGACAUGGCCCUUUUUUCUCGAGAGCUACCAGUCACACUUCCUAAAUCUUCAUACCCAAGGAGGGUGACCUUCACAGACUACAUGGUUCUCCAGCCAAAUAUAUGCACUUUCCCACUGGAUCCACCAAACAAAUAAAUAAUGGUAAAGCAAGAAAAUUCAAUAUCUUAACUACAAUAAAGUCAUCC
rnacentral:lncRNA from 1 species